UUCUAAAGGAAAAGAAUCAGGAAACUUCUCCUCUUCACUCUCAUUUUCUCUCUCCUCAUUUGACUCUUCCUCUUCUCCCGUCACCCGAUCCUCCCUCUCUUCACCGGCUAUUCCUCUCUCCUCCAUCUUCGUUGUUCGCCAGCAUCGUGGUGGCCGUUGUUUUCGUCGUCGACGUUGCUACAACCUCGCAAAUAGGUAAUCUCUCUAUCCCAUUUCGUUAUUUGAAUUGAUUAAAACCCUAAUUUAUCAAACCCUAACUCCAUUUUCGUUGGUUCUCAACCCUCCUCCGGUGAGAGGCCGUGUCGCCGCCUCCGUUGGCUCACCACCGUCACUGGUGACCGUCGGGUGGUUGCGGUUGCUGUUGUUGUGUGGUUGUCCUGUGUCUUCCUCCUACGCUACCCCCUACCUCGCACUGCUUUCUCUCUCUUUCUCCGCUCGCCGAAGCUUCGUGGCCCGGUGGAGCCGCUGCCGCUGGUGGUGUUGUUGCAGUGGUGUUGACUAUUGCUUCUCUACUUUCCCAUUUCCUUAAGGGUAUAAUUCAAAACCCUCUAAUUCUAUUUCAAUUAUUUUCUUUUAGUCCCUUUGAUUUUAGUAUUUAUUUUAGUGAUUAGUGAGUAAUUCAAUUAUUAAAUUUAAAUUAUUUUGAUAACAUAAUUGAGAAAUUCAAGUUAAUGUUUUCCUUUUUCCUAAAAAUAUUUGUCUAAACAAAAAUAUGAUUUCAGAAUUCUUAGAUUGAUUUGGGAAUUGAACAAGUAUUGUAAUUAUGGUUUCAAUCACAGAUUAAGUAUAAUUGAAUAUGGUUUUAUUAAAAGCAAAGCAAGCUUUAUAGAUAAUCUUAAAAGAAACUCAGAAGUUUAUUAGAAGGUUCGAUAAAGUUAUUAUGACUCGUGAGUAUCUAAUGGUUCAUGUCCUCAUCUGUUUGAGGUAUAAUGAAGUAGAGAAUGAACAAGGAGAAUCGUAUCAUGGAAGUUGAGUGGAGAAUGGUGAUCGGUAUAUAGCCUUGAGAGUUAUGAAUGGAUAUUAAAGAGUUAAAUUUUUUUGCAGGUAGCAAGAGUUAGGUCUCAGUUCAUAUUCAAGGUUCGUAGAGUUCUCAAAUGGCCUUAUGUGUCCAAGGUUGGACUAUGGAAUCGUCAAAUGUAAUUUAGUUCAUAGAGUUUGUUAAAGGGCUGUAUAAUUUCUUCCUAAAGCUUUUUAGUUUAUAAUUUGUGGGUUAUAUAUAUAUAUCUGUAUUGGAGUAGUAGUGAAGUUAAGUUUCUUUGGUUUAAAGUUAAAUGUGCUUAGAAGUAGCUCAUUAAGUGUGGGCUGUUAAAGUGGCACCCUGGUAAUGUUUUGGGAUAUGUUAUAUAUUUGGAAUGAUGUCAUUAAAGCA